rnacentral:rRNA from 1 species
GACGAACGCUGGCGGCGUGCUUAACACAUGCAAGUCGAACGGAAAGGCCCUGCUUUUGUGGGGUGCUCGAGUGGCGAACGGGUGAGUAACACGUGAGUAACCUGCCCUUGACUUUGGGAUAACUUCAGGAAACUGGGGCUAAUACCGGAUAGGAGCUCCUGCUGCAUGGUGGGGGUUGGAAAGUUUCGGCGGUUGGGGAUGGACUCGCGGCUUAUCAGCUUGUUGGUGGGGUAGUGGCUUACCAAGGCUUUGACGGGUAGCCGGCCUGAGAGGGUGACCGGCCACAUUGGGACUGAGAUACGGCCCAGACUCCUACGGGAGGCAGCAGUAGGGAAUAUUGCACAAUGGGCGGAAGCCUGAUGCAGCAACGCCGCGUGCGGGAUGACGGCCUUCGGGUUGUAAACCGCUUUCGCCUGUGACGAAGCGUGAGUGACGGUAAUGGGUAAAGAAGCAUCGGCUAACUACGUG